GCCGCCCCCACCUUGAAGGACGCUCCGGAGCUGAGGGACAGCCCUGCUGGGGUCACAGCCCACUCCUGCCAACUAGGAAAGGGCAUUUGUUCUUGGACUCUGGUUGCAAGAGGAAAUGUAGGAGAAGAGGGUUCCAAUACCAGGCUUUGCUGCACCAUGCUCACCUCUGCUUUGAAGAUUUUAACACUAAAGUGGGGACCAGUCUUCUCUGGAAAAUAUGAGACAGGCUAACAUUCAGGGAGCUGGCAGAGUGACAAGGUAGAAGGAACCUGGGCCUGGACAGGUCUGCUGUGGACCCACCUGCUGCCUCUGGACUGCUACAUCAGAGAGAAUUAAAAUGUAGCUAUUG